rnacentral:rRNA from 1 species
UACGUAGGGUGCGAGCGUUGUCCGGAAUUAUUGGGCGUAAAGAGCUCGUAGGCGGUUUGUCGCGUCGGCUGUGAAAACCUGGGGCUCAACCCCCGGGGCCUGCAGUGGGUACGGGCAGACUAGAGUGCAGUAGGGGAGACUGGAAUUCCUGGUGUAGCGGUGAAAUGCGCAGAUAUCAGGAGGAACACCGAUGGCGAAGGCAGGUCUCUGGGCUGUAACUGACGCUGAGGAGCGAAAGCAUGGGGAGCGAACAGG